rnacentral:sRNA from 1 species
UGAUAUUCUCACAAAUCAUUCAUGCAUA